CUCGGUGCUUUUCGGGCGUUGCAGCAGGACUGAGCCAGAGUCCUACUGCAUUAGCUGACCUGCAGCAGCAUGGCAGGAUCUGUUAGCAGCAGUCCUGGCAGCGGCGGCAGGCCAACGCGCCCGAGGCCGCGGACGCCGGCGUCGCCGGACGCCGCCCGCCCGCUCGCUCGGCAGCGCGGCUCACGCGGCUCUGGACGAGCCCCGUGCAGGGGAACGCGCAUUUUUUUUCUUAUUUUUUAAAGAUUACAAACUUAUUGGAUUAGACACGUAGAUUAAGUUACUUCGGUGGUGGUUAGAGUAUUGAUAUAAAUCCGUUCCUGUGAAGUGAAGACACCUCACAUACUCACACUUUUCCGUUACAUGUAUUAUUAAGUUACAAUUAUAAUGUAGUUCGAAUGUAAAUACAAAUAAGUUUGAUAAUACCUUACCAGUCAGCAGGUUUAUUGAGUUACAGUUAGUUUUGCAGUUAUUGUUUUUAUUAUAUAUGUUAAGUUUAGUAUUUUCUAUUUCCACUCCGCUAAGACAUCUUGUUAAAGUUUGUUGACGGUAAUUAAGACGUUUUGUUACAGAAUAAAUGAGUUGUGAUUUCAUA